UACAGAGGUCUCAAGCGUUGUUCGGAUUCAUUGGGCGUAAAGGGUGCGUAGGCGGACUCUUAAGUCGGUGGUGAAAUCCUGGAGCUCAACUCCAGAACUGCCUUCGAUACUGAGAGUCUCGAGUCCGGGAGAGGUGAGUGGAACUGCGAGUGUAGAGGUGAAAUUCGUAGAUAUUCGCAAGAACACCAGUGGCGAAGGCGGCUCACUGGCCCGGUACUGACGCUGAGGUGCGAAAGCGUGGGGAGCAAACAGG
rnacentral:rRNA from 1 species